UACGGGGGGGGCAAGCGUUGUUCGGAAUUACUGGGCGUAAAGGGCUCGUAGGCGGCCAACUAAGUCGGAUGUGAAAUCCCCAGGCUUAACCUGGGAACUGCAUCCGAUACUGGACGGCUUGAAUUCGGGAGAGGGAUGCAGAAUUCCAGGUGUAGCGGUGAAAUGCGUAGAUAUCUGGAGGAAUACCGGUGGCGAAGGCGGCAUCCUGGACCGAGAUUGACGCUGAUGAGCGAAAGCUAGGGGAGCAAACGGG
rnacentral:rRNA from 1 species